UGGGGAAUAUUGGGCAAUGGAGGAAACUCUGACCCAGCGACGCCGCGUGCGGGAUGAAGGCCUUCGGGUUGUAAACCGCUUUCAGUAGGGAAGAAGCGAAAGUGACGGUACCUACAAAAGAAGCACCGGCUAACUAUGUGCCAGCAGCCGCGGUAAUACAUAGGGUGCAAGCGUUGUCCGGAAUUAUUGGGCGUAAAGAGCUCGUAGGUCGUUUGUUACGUCGGAUGUGAAAACCUGAGGCUCAACCUC
rnacentral:rRNA from 1 species